rnacentral:lncRNA from 10 species
GCUGCAGAUACCCAGGACCCAGCAGAGGGCCUGGCACAGCGGGGCCCAGGGACACGUCUGUGAGUCAGGCUGGCACUCAAGUGUGAAUCUGGACAAAGAAGGUGGCAUUGUUGGCAUUGAAUGCUCAGGGGCUGGGUGAAGUCAGCUAGGGAGAGGGGCUCUCAAGGCACCAGGACUGACUCCGUGGGUGAGGGCGGAGGAGGAGACGGCAGAGGCUGAGAGAAUAGCCAGAGACAGGAGGAAGGUCAGCAGAGCCAUGCACAGAAGCCUGGAGAAGAUUUGAGGAAAGGAAGGGCUGGGUGGUCGUCAUUCCCUGCAGCUAGGAGGCAAGGGUGACCCCUGUGUGUUUCAUUCUUCAGAGGAUUGGUGGCUCCAUCUGGUCAGAACCCCAAGUCCAGAGAUGCAUCUGAGCUUCAUGCCAUGGUGCAGGCAGCAGGAGCCAUGGAGCAGGCCUGCGGGGUCACGGCCUGCCUGCUGCUUCCUGGUGUCUCUACCCUGAGCUCAGGGGUUGCUUGGAUGCCCUGUGCUGCAUCCCCCCAGGCGGUGUUCCAGAGAGGAUGAAAGUGGCUAUCUCAAGGUGUGACCAGGAUUCUGAGCAGCUCUUCUGGGAGGUGGGUGCAGUCCAGGUAGGCUGCCUGCAAAGCUAGGACCGAGGGAGCCACAUCCAAGGCACUGUGGGUUCCCAAGGCGAUGGCACUGUGGGCCCACUGCUUCCAGACCUCCUCAACUCCCAGGCUCCUGAGCAGGAGGACUCCUGGGGCAGGGCCU